GAUGAACGCUAGCUACAGGCUUAACACAUGCAAGUCGAGGGACCGGCGCACGGGUGAGUAACACGUAUCCAACCUGCCCUUUACUCGGGGAUAGCCUUUCGAAAGAAAGAUUAAUACCCGAUAUAAAGGAUGGGGAUGCGUUCCAUUAGGUUGGUGGUGAGGGAACGGCCAACCAAGCCUUCGAUGGAUAGGGGUUCUGAGAGGAAGGUACACCAAAAUGGAAAUAAGACACGGACCAAACUCCUACGGGAGGCAGCAGUGAGGAAUAUUGGUCAAUGAGCGCUAGCCUGAAACAGCCAAGUAACGUGAAGGAUGAAGGCUUAUGGGUCGUAAACUUCUUUUAUAUAAGAAUAUGUAUUAUAUGAAUAAGGAUCGGCUAACUCCGUGCCAGCAGCCGCGGUAAUAC
rnacentral:rRNA from 1 species